rnacentral:misc_RNA from 1 species
CCUCCAACUCUUCAACACUCAUUCGUUCAACAGACCCUCCAUAACGCGCAUCAAAAAAGGGCUUCUUUAUAUGCUUCUCCAAAAGUUUCCUAGCAUGUUCCCGGACUCUGUUCUCCAUAGAGCAAAGUGCAAAUUUCCAGCCAACACUGCUGUUAAGAUUGCAUAAGAGAGCAUCAAUCCACUCACUCUUACCAGAAUUGGGAACCCCAGUUACUAUAGUCAACUCUCCUGGCAUAACUUUGUAUAAUUCAUUUAGAGCCUUCCACCCAGUUGAUACGCCACAUUCAUAACCAAGAGUUCGAUUAUAGUAGUCAUCAAUUUCAAUAAAGUAAUCCCUGAACUUGAACAACCCACGGAUGGGGUAUAACUCUGCAUUUUCAAUUGCUUCCCUCAGUGCAGUGGGACCCAAAAACAUGAGAACCUCAUUUGCAUCUUUGCAAUACUCCUCUUUACUUUUCUUAGGCCACUUGACUCUCCAGCAUCUUUCCCUUCCAAUACGACGUGCGAUCUCUUCAGCUAAAGCUUGACCAGGUGGAUCUUCAUCAGUAGCAAGUAUUAUACGAGAUGCCUUAUUCAAGUACUCUUUGCAAUUCCAUAGAUAUUGAUAUUUUGUGUCCUUCUCUUCAGAAGGCAACUCUUUUGAAGAAACUUUUGGAGGCGCGCCAUCAGGUACACUCACACAAGUACGGAACCCAGCUUCUUCCAUUGCAAGCUUGUCUAUUUCACCUUCAACAAUAAUGACAUCAUCAGCUUCCUUGAUAUCAUCCAGCCCAUAAAAUAUUUUUUC